rnacentral:rRNA from 1 species
CUGGGGAGUACGCCGGCAACGGUGAAACUCAAAGGAAUUGACGGGGCCCCGCACAAGCGGAGGAACAUGUGGUUUAAUUCGAUGAUACGCGAGGAACCUUACCCGGGCUUGAACUGCAGGUGAAGGAUACGGAGACAUUGAGGUCCUUCGGGACACCUGUGGAGGUGCUGCAAGGUUGUCGACAGCACGUGCCGUGAGGUGUCGGCUUAAGUGCCAUAACGAGCGCAACCCCUUUUGCGAGUUGCCAUCAGGUAAUGCUGGGCACUCUGGGGACACUGACACCGUAAGGUGUGAGGAAGGAGGGGAUGACGUCAAAUCAGCACGGCCCUUACGUCCGGGGCUACACACGUGUUACAAUGGGUGGUACAGAGAGUGGGCCCAUGGCAAUUUGCAUCAAAUCAUGAAAGCCAUCCUCAGUUCGGAUUGGGGUCUGCAACCCGACCCCAUGAAGCUGGAUUCGCUAGAAAUCG